AGUGAACGCUGGCGGUAGGCCUAACACAUGCAAGUCGAACGGCAGCACAGUAAGAGCUUGCUCUUACGGGUGGCGAGUGGCGGACGGGUGAGGAAUACAUCGGAAUCUACUUUUUCGUGGGGGAUAACGUAGGGAAACUUACGCUAAUACCGCAUACGACCUACGGGUGAAAGCAGGGGAUCUUCGGACCUUGCGUGAUUGAAUGAGCCGACGGCGGAUUAGAUAGUUGGCGGGGUAAAGGCCCACCAAGGCGACGAUCCGUACCUGGUCUGGGAGGAUUAUCAGCCACACUGUAUCUGAGAGACGGUCCAGACUCCUACGGGAGGGAGCAGUGGGGAAUAUUGGACAAUGGGCGCAAACCUGAUCCAGCCAUACCGCGUGGGUGAAGAAGGCCUUCGGGUUGUAAAGCCCUUUUGUUGGGAAAGAAAAGCAGCAGGUUAAUACCCCGCUGUUCUGACGGUACCCAAAGAAUAAGCUCCGGCUAACUUCGUG
rnacentral:rRNA from 1 species